GCCUCUUCGAUGGCCAGCCUCGGACGCUGCCCUCUUUCUGGCAAUAUGUUGACGAAUAUCGACGCUCGACACUCGCAUCCUCGACUGUAUGGCUGCAAUUACAACAGAAGUCAGUACAACUCAACAAAUAAAAGAAAAGUGAAGUCCGAAAUAACCGACCGACUAUACUAUACCUAGACAGGCAAUUGAAUUAAGGCCGGUGUCAUAAAGAGCAUGUUCGG
rnacentral:lncRNA from 1 species